rnacentral:lncRNA from 1 species
UAAUCUUGAGAGACAGUAACCCAACCACGCACAUACAAAGCACUGUACAAUAGUUGCUAUUUUCAUAAACAUUUCUGGCAAGAGUAGUCUUACCGACUUCCCCCCAUACCGGUGAUAGGGAUAAUUUGUCGCUGGCGUUGGUCGCUUGUAAGCUUAUCCAUAACUUCUUCCCAAUACUCUUCAAAUCCUACCAUAGUAGUUGACUUUCUAGCUGUGACAGCUUCGGUCGAUGGAGGAGCAGGCGUCGAAUACGUUGGCUGCAGAUCUUCCGAUCUAGUUUCCGCUUUCAGCUUUUCUUCGAUGGAAUCCAUCUCUUGUAUUGAUUUCUGCAGAUCCAGCAACGACGCGGGGUGUUCUCGGCAGAUCCGGCGAGAAUAUGAUCCACAAUGUGAGAUUCGAUGGCAUCUUCAGCGGCGUGAGAUGCUGAAGCUAUUUGGCUCUCCAACUCUCCAUGAGAUUGAGAAGUGUACUUCUCCACAAAAGCUAGCAAGGAAUCGAGCUUUGCGGUUAAAGUUUGAAUCUGUUUGUGGAGAAAGCAAUGAGAAAGGUGAGGAUGAUUUUGGAUGUUGUCGACGGUGUUGAGAAGAGAAACUAGAGCUGCGUAAGCUGCCAUCUUCAACUUGUAAUCUUCCUUUCAAGUUUCAGCAAUGGCAGUAAAUUGAUUUUUGUGUUUAGCUAACUCGUAAACUUUCUUUCAACUUUCUUCCGAGAGUGAACAGAAGGGUUGGGAUCCUCCAAACGGUGACGUAUCAAG